CCGAAAGAAAACAUGCAGAGUGCAGACCCGGUUUAUCGAUUUCCGACAUAGUUGAUGCCAACGCAGAAUACAGCUGAUUAUCUAAGCAGGAGAUUGAGCAACAUUACUUACGUAUCUCCUAAACAAAUCAUCAAAGUUAAAAGAUGCCAAAAUGUUUUGUAAAAAGAUGCCAAUCAAAACACGACAACAGAUACAAAACUCCUCUAGUCAGUCUACAUUGCUUUUCACAUUUACCCAAUAGAAUCAGAAAAUACUGGACAAUCAUUGUCAAAUUUAGAAAAUUUUGUUCAGAAAAUGAUGCAACUGAAAAGCACUGUCAAUUUACGGAUAUGUUCAAAACAUUUUACAGAUGAUAAUUUUGUAAUGAUUGGAUCACGAAAAACAUUGAAAAAAGAUGCAAUAUCUACAUUACACAUAAAUUUGGAACCUACAGCAGACCGACUACUUGCAGACGAAGAACCGUCAACAUCAGGUAUAAUGAGUGCCAGUCGCACUUUUACUACUACAUCUAUUGAUGAAGUGACAAGCGACUGUGAAGAUAUAAUGGAGAUAACUCCAGACCCUGGCAUUCCAUCUUGGAAAAUAGAUCACCAGUAUAACAUCAGUUUAACCACUAUGGAGAGUUUUGAAAAAGAACACAUUGAAACUUCACAUUCUACUGCACACAAAGAAUCACUUGGUAGAUCUAUUUUUUAUAAAGAAAUACAUACAUAAUAUAAACUUAUGAAUCAAAAUUGCCAUCAAAUUCACAUUUUUAACAUAUCUAUGUUAUCUCAUCUGAAAGCAUCUUUUAUACGAUCCAAAUAAGCAAUGCCUUACUAUAACAUUUAUUUCCAGAUAUACAAUCUCAUUCUAAAGUAGGGGAGGGGCCAGCCUGCAAAAAACUCUCACUUACCUCACCUGUCUAAUUUUGAAACUCGUCUCCUGCCUCUGGGGUUCUGGGAUACGACUCGUAAGAAGGGGAAAAGGAAGUAUGCAGUGACCCAUCCAAACAAGUUGGACGGGAGCGGAAGAGGCAGGAGCGGUAAUCUGCCCUAUAUGUUUGAGUGGCCUCUAGUAGGUACCCCCCUAUCCUGCUGUCCAUUCCUAUUCUCAACAUACAUAAUCCAAGGCUCACAGACCAUCAGGAACUGCUCUUUGUUGCCUAAUAUGUCAACUGAAGCACUACUCAUCUGAUAAUAAUAUUCAAUUUUGCUUCUAAUUAUUGAAAAUGACGGAAUCAUAGUUUUCCAGUAUCUUGCUAUGCUUAAUUUGGUUAUGGUGCAGAUGAUGGCCACCAAUUUAUUUGCCCUAGAAUUUAUGCCUGGAAGAGGAUCAUGCAGCAAAGCCUGGGUUGGGGUCAGUACGAAUGGCCUAUCUAGUACCUCGCUCAAUAGAGCCGAAGUUUGGGACCAAAUAUCAGAUACCUUACAGCAAUGCCACCACAUAUCUGGAUAUGUGCCCCUUUCCGUGCACCCUUGCCAACAGUUAGUGCUAGUAUGAACCCUAGUAUGUAUUCGAGAUGGAUGAAAGUACCAUCUAAAAGCUACUUUAACAAAUUUUUCUUUUAAAUGAGCGCAAAUUGAGACAGAGGUGCCCUUCCUUAAUAUGUUGCACCAUUUCUCGACUGACCAGUCAAAAUUAAAGUCAGAUUCCCAUUUUAGCAUAAACUGUAGUUUACUCAAUUUAGGAGGGGCAUUAAAUUGAAUAUAUAAGUUGGAAAUGGCACCUCUUGUACU